rnacentral:lncRNA from 1 species
AAGGGGUUACAUGUAGUAAAUAUUAACAAUCAAACAAGAAAUAAAAACGCAAAAGAACUACCCAAUAAGCAUAGGAGUGUAAAAAAAUAAAAAAAAAACAAAAAUGCAACUCAACCAGGCCCAAUAACAUAGGGGUGUAUGGCCGAAAAUAGGGGUGUAACCCGAGAUAGCAUGCCCUGGUCCAAAUCCUUUUUUUUUUUUACAGAAUGGGGUGCAGAUAGGGAUUUCUCGUUGCCAAGAAGCAAAACCAACCCACCAGCCAAGCCCAAGGUUUUUUUUUAUGGUUUGCCAAAAAGGAAAAGGAUGGUGUGAUGAUAGCAAAAAAUGGGGGUGUAAGGAAUAAAACAAAAAUUACAGAAACAUAAAAAUGAAAAAAAAAAUAAUAAUAAAAAAAAACAAAAAAAAAACCAAGCCCAAUCUUUCUUCAGAAACCCUAGGGUUUUCCAACCCCCAAACCCUCUAGGAGGUUCUCAUUCGAACCACACCUAAGGAAACAUCCUCUUCUGCAAGAACGAACCACCUCCUUCAUCCUCUGCAGCAACUCCAACCACCAAUUUUAGCCACCGCAUAUGGUGACCAGAGGUAACGCCGGCGGUGCAUCUCCUUUCAUGCCCCAAGGACUACCUCAACCACCGCGACACUCUCUCUCCCGCCAUUGAUGACAGCGACGCCGUCUCCUUCACGCCGUUGUACUGGGUUUUGAUUUUGAUGUAUCACCGAUAACCACUUCAGCGAUAAGAAGCGCCACCAGAAACACAAUCGACCACCAUUGACUCCUCCUUCCCCUCCAUCAGCGUGCCGUUAAUCCUCUUCAUCUUCUCACACCACCAAAUAAAAACCAAUUUCGCUCCCCGUUCGUGCCACCUCUAAUGGCGUCGCCGGGAACAACAAUGGACCGUACUCCAAAAUGCAGAAUGAAUAAUAACAGGGAAAUUGUUUCUGAGUUUUGCUCCCUGUGUGUGUGGGUGCUGGAAAUCGGUCCCUGUUUUGGGUUGUGGUUCCAUUUCUAUGGUUCACGUUUGGAUAUUUGGUUGAUUUCUUUUCUUGCAGGUAAAACAAAGAGAAAGAGGAUUUUUCUGUGUUGUAGUGUGGAGGAUGAGAUUGGGGAUUUUGCUGUGUUGAUAGUAGGGAAUGGACAAAGCCGUGGAUGAAUAGGAUGGCUC